rnacentral:pre_miRNA from 1 species
AUUCUACUCCCUCCGUUGCACAAUACAUGCCUUCUAUUUGUCAAUACAUAUAUAUAUAUGUAUCUAGAAAUGUUUUAGUAUAUAGGUACAUCCAUUUUUGGACAAAUGGAAGUCAAGUAUUUUGGAACGGAGGGAGUACACA